rnacentral:rRNA from 1 species
GAUGAGCGCUGGCGGCGUGCCUAAUACAUGCAAGUCGAGCGAACAGACGAGGAGCUUGCUCCUCUGACGUUAGCGGCGGACGGGUGAGUAACACGUGGAUAACCUACCUAUAAGACUGGGAUAACUUCGGGAAACCGGAGCUAAUACCGGAUAAUAUAUUGAACCGCAUGGUUCAAUAGUGAAAGACGGUUUUGCUGUCACUUAUAGAUGGAUCCGCGCCGCGUUAGCUAGUUGGUAAGGUAACGGCUUACCAAGGCAACGAUGCGUAGCCGACCUGAGAGGGUGAUCGGCCACACUGGAACUGAGACACGGUCCAGACUCCUACGGGAGGCAGCAGUAGGGAAUCUUCCGCAAUGGGCGAAAGCCUGACGGAGCAACGCCGCGUGAAUGAUGAAGGUCUUCGGAUCGUAAAACUCUGUUAUUAGGGAAGAACAAAUGUGUAAGUAACUAUGCACGUCUUGACGGUACCUAAUCAGAAAGCCACGGCUAACUACGUG